UUUUUUCCAGAAAGUGGAGGAGAAGCGAGCUGGUAGAGAACCUCGCAGGUGAUUUAUGGAAGGAGAGUUGGCUGUCCUGCCAGUGGAGUCCUUACAUGCACUUAGAGCUGUCAAGAUCACAAGCACUGCAUAAAUACUCUGGCCUGGAUCCAAAAAGAUGGAUUUCUGAAAGAGGAAAGAGUAGAAGACUGAAGUAAGGAAUGAUUUUUGCUUUUGUGAUCUUCGUACCAUAUUGUAAAUGUGCACAGUAAUUUGACAGGACUGUUGAUGCUCAUGUGCAUUUCCUUGAAUUAACAUUAGAGCUGUAGUACUGACUUAGGGUGCUUAGUUUAUUGUAAAACACUUAAUCUUACACUGAAAUAUAUAUAUAUACAUGA